rnacentral:rRNA from 1 species
AGCUUGCCUAUUUGAAAAUUCUUCGGGAAUGGACAUAGAUACAAGCUAGCGGCGGAGUGGGGUGAGUAACGACGUGGGUAACCCUGCCCUUAAAGUCUGGGAUACCAUUUGGAAACAGAUGCUAAUACCGGAUAAAAAGCACUUUCGCAUGAAAGAAGUUUAAAAAAGGCGGCGUAAGCUGUCGCUAAAGGAUGGACCUGCGAUGCAUUAGCUAGUUGGUAAGGUAACGGCUUACCAAGGCGAUGAUGCAUAGCCGAGUUGAGAGACUGAUCGGCCACAUUGGGACUGAGACACGGCCCAAACUCCUACGGGAGGCAGCAGUAGGGAAUUUUCCACAAUGGACGCAAGUCUGAUGGAGCAACGCCGCGUGAGUGAAGAAGGUUUUCGGAUCGUAAAGCUCUGUUGUUGGUGAAGAAGGAUCGAGGUAGUAACUGGCCUUUAUUUGACGGUAAUCAACCAGAAAGUCACGGCUAACUACGUGCCAGCAGCCGCGGUAAAU